AGUGAUUGCUCCUAGGAGGAACUGGGGGCUGAGCACUGUGGACCCACAGGGAGGAUGAGCAGAGCAGAUUGGUGCCAUGGCCCCUCCUGCCCAGGACAUGGAAGCUUCUGGCUCUGAAUUUAAACCUGAAGACAGUUGAGAUGUCAGCGACAGACAGGUGACUACUAAUUUCCAACACAGUGGGUCUUGCCCACUAAAUACUCCACAACCCCAUGGUGCCUACACCACUACGAGGAGGGAGGAUUUUCCAACACGGCUCUGCUGGCUCAGCUCUU